AAGAUAAUUAAACUUUAUCAAACUGGAUUGUCAACUUUCUUGGUUCUUCAUAGUUGUAUUUUUUUCUAUUCUUUUGAUUUGCAGGAAAGAAAGUCCACCAGCAUUUCUCCCUAAACCUGUGUUAGAAAUAAUAGCAGGUCUUAAUCAGGAGAUACAGCUCUGGGCUGAACACUUGGGACUGUGGAUGGAAUCUAGUGCGAGAUAUCUUCAGUCUGUUCUCCAGGCAUUAUGAAGACAUUACUGAGAAUUUCAAUCCCAUUUUAACUAUCAAAGAGGACACGUAACCAUGGUUUGUUGCUGAAAGUAUGUGAAAAAAUUCAUCUUUAGGGAGAAAUUCCCAUUCUUGAAAUGGUGAUGGAUAGUCCUUCUUCACUCAACACACAUGAACAGUGUAAGUGAGAAAUGGUUUUCUUUGACAGGUGGGUUAUCUGGUACAGACUCUGUAGAAAGAUAGCCCAGUU
rnacentral:lncRNA from 1 species